AUACGUAGGGAGCGAGCGUUGUCCGGAAUUACUGGGUGUAAAGGGAGCGUAGGCGGGAAUGCAAGUUGAAUGUGAAAUCUAUCGGCUCAACCGAUAGCUGCGUUCAAAACUGCAUUUCUUGAGUGAAGUAGAGGUUGGCGGAAUUCCUAGUGUAGCGGUGAAAUGCGUAGAUAUUAGGAGGAACACCAGUGGCGAAGGCGGCCAACUGGGCUUUUACUGACGCUGAGGCUCGAAAGCGUGGGUAGC
rnacentral:rRNA from 1 species